AGGCGAUGAAGGACGUGAUACGCUGCGAUAAGCGUCGGGGAGGUGCGAAUACCCUUUGAUCCGACGAUUUCCGAAUGGGGCAACCCACCUUAGAUGACUAGAAAAUCAGAUGUGUCGUUUAAGGCAAUAGGGCAAUACGGCAGUAGGGCAGUAUGUAAGAAACAUAUUGCCUUAUUGCCCUACUGACUUACUGCCUUUUGAGAACGGCGCAUGUGGUUUCUAGUCAUCAGAAAUAAGGUAUCUAACCUUGAAUACAUAGGGGUUAGAAGCGAACCUGGGGAACUGAAACAUCUAAGUACCCAGAGGAAAGGACAUCAAACGAGACUCCGCUAGUAGUGGCGAGCGAACGCGGACCAGGCCAGUGGCUUUUGUGAAUGAAGUGGAACGAGUUGGAAAACUCGACCGAAGUGGGUGAUAGUCCCGUACACGUAGAAUAGCAGAAGUCCUUGAGUAGGGCGGGACACGUGAAAUCCUGUCUGAACAUGGGUCGACCAC
rnacentral:rRNA from 1 species